GACGAACGCUGGCGGCGUGCUUAACACAUGCAAUUCGAACGGUAAGGCCCUUCGGGGUACACGAGUGGCGAACGGGUGAGUAACACGUGGGUGAUCUGCCCUGCACUUUGGGAUAAGCCUGGGAAACUGGGUCUCAUACCGGAUAGGACCAUGCGCCUCACGCGGUGUGGUGGAAAGCUUUUGCUGGGUGGGAUGGGCCCGCGGCCUAUGAGCUUGUUGGUGGGGUAAGGGCCUACCAAGGCGGCGACGGGUAGCCGGCCUGAGAGGGUGGCCGGCCACACUGGGACUGAGAUACGGCCCAGACUCCAACGAGAGGCAGAAGUGGGGAAUAUUGCACAAUGGGCGCAAGCCUGAUGCAGCGACGCCGCGUGAGGGAUGACGGCCUUCGGGUUGUAAACCUCUUUCAGUAGGGACGAAGCGCAAGUGACGGUACCUACAGAAGAAGGACCGGCCAACUACGUGCCAGCCGCCGCUGUAA
rnacentral:rRNA from 1 species